GUGGGGAAUCUUCCGCAAUGGACGAAAGUCUGACGGAGCAACGCCGCGUGAGUGAAGAAGGUUUUCGGAUCGUAAAGCUCUUUCGUUAGGGACGAACGUGCUCUUUGUGAAUAAUGAGGAGUAAUGACGGUACCUAAAUAAGAAGCCACGGCUAACUACGUGCCAGCAGCCGCGGUAAUACGUAGGUGGCAAGCGUUGUCCGGAAUUAUUGGGCGUAAAGCGCGCGCAGACGGGAUAUCAAGUCUGUCUUAAAAGUGCGAGGCUCAACCUCGUGAGGGGACAGAAACUGGUAUUCUUGAGUGUCGGAGAGGAAAGUGGAAUUCCAAGUGUAGCGGUGAAAUGCGUAGAGAUUUGGAAGAACACCAGUGGCGAAGGCGACUUUCUGGACGAUGUCUGACGCUGAGGCGCGAAAGCUAGGGGAGCGAACGGGAUUAGAUACCCUGGUAGUCC
rnacentral:rRNA from 1 species